rnacentral:misc_RNA from 1 species
GAUGAAGAACGCAGCGAAAUGCGAUAAGUAAUGUGAAUUGCAGAAUUCAGUGAAUCAUCGAAUCCUUGAACGCACAUUGCGCCCGCCAGUAUUCUGGCGGGCAUGCCUGUUCGAGCGUCAUUUCAACCCUCAGGCCCCGCCUGGCGUUGGGGAUCGGCGCGGCCCUCUCCGGGCUGCCGGCCCCGAAAACUAGUGGCGGUCUCGCUGUAGUCCUCCUCUGCGCAGUAGCAACGCUCGCACUGGAACUCGGCGCGGCCACGCCGUAAAACACCCCACUUCUGAAAGUUGACCUUGGAUCAGGUAGGAAUACCCGCUGAACUUAAGCAUAUCAAUAAGCGAGGA